UUCCCUUAAACCUGUCAUGUUGGAAGGGAUAGAGGAGAGUAAGACUCUUGAAUCUGAAUAACAUUUACCCCAAAGAGGAUGAAGUUUUAAACAUAGUUCUGAAGUCUGAACCCCAAGACCAAGGCAGGUUUGGUUUCUUCUGAGAUGUCUCUCCAUAGCUUGCAGAUGCCUGCUUCCUUCCUGUGUCCUCAUGUGGCCUUUCUUCUGUGUUUUGUUUUUAUUUGAGAGAAAGCGAGAGUGCACACAUGCACAAGUAGACAGAGAGGCAGAGGGAGAGGAAGAAACAGACUCACUGCUGAGCAAGGAGACCUGGGAUCAUGACCUGAGCCAGAAGGCAGAUGCUUAAUCGACUGAGACACUCAGGCGCUCCUUUACUUGCAUCUUUUAAUGGAAAUGCUGUUAAACACCUUCUCCUGUGUUUAUUUGCCAUCCGUAUAUCUUCUUAUCUAUAAAAAAAGACCUGAGAUCUUGCCAUUUGUGACAACAUGGAUGAGCUAGAAGGCAUUAUGCUAAGUGAAUUUUCUUAGCUGCUGUUACUGCUGCUGCUGUUGCUGCUGCUUCGUCUUCUCCCAAUAUGAGUGAAUGUUGAAUUUUAUCACAUGAUUUUCCUGCAUCAUUGAAAUGACCAUAUAUUUUUUUCUAACCUUUGUUUUGUUACCAUAGAGAAUUACUUUGACUUUUGGAUGUUUAGCAAUUC